rnacentral:rRNA from 1 species
CCCUUAGAUGUUCUGGGCCGCACGCGCGCUACACUGAUACAUGCAACGAGUUUAUAACCUUGAUCUGACGGUCUGGGUAAUCUUCAAACUGUAUCGUGUUAGGGAUCGAUUCUUGCAAUUUUUAAUCGUAAACGAGGAAUUCCUAGUAAACGCAAGUCAUCAGCUUGCAUUGAUUACGUCCCUGCCCUUUGUACACACCGCCCGUCGCUCCUACCGAUUGAGUGCUCAGGUGAAUAAUUCGGACUGCAGCAAUGUUCGGAUCCCGAACGUUGCAGCGGAAAGUUUAGUGAACCUUAUCACUUAGAGGAAGGAGAAGUCGUAACA